AACGAACGCUGGCGGCAGGCUUAACACAUGCAAGUCGAGCGCCCCGAAAGGGGAGCGGCAGACGGGUGAGUAACGCGUGGGAAUGUGCCCUUUGGUCUGGAAUAACUCAGGGAAACUUGAGCUAAUACCGGAUAAGCCCUUCGGGGGAAGGAUUUAUUGCCAUUGGAGCAGCCCGCGUCAGAUUAGCUAGUUGGUGAGGUAAACGCUCACCAAGGCGAUGAUCUGUAGCUGGUCUGAAAGGACGACCAGCCACACUGGGACUGAGACACGGACCAGACUCCUACGGGAGGCAGCAGUGGGGAAUAUUGGACAAUGGGGGCAACCCUGAUCCAGCCAUGCCGCGUGAGUGAUGAAGGCCUUAGGGUUGUAAAGCUCUUUUACUCGGGAAGAUAAUGACUGUACCGAGAGAAUAAGCCCCGGCUAACUUCGUGCCAGCAGCCGCCGUAA
rnacentral:rRNA from 1 species